GUCCUAGCUGUAAACGGUGCUUAUUUGCUGUAAAAGGAAUCGACCCCUUUUGUGGCGUAGCCAACGCGAUAAAUAAGCCGCCUGGGAAGUACGGUCGCAAGAUUAAAAACUCAAAGAAAUUGACGGGGGCCUGCACAAGCGGUGGAGUAUGUGGCUCAAUUCGAUGCAACGCGAAGAACCUUACCAAGCCUUGACAUGUAGGUAGUAGAAGCCUGAAAGGGUGACGAGGUCGCAAGACCAGCUUACACAGGUGCUGCAUGGCUGUCGC
rnacentral:rRNA from 1 species